AUGCUCCUCCCCCAGUUCAACUUUCACCGGACUCCUUGUCUGAUCCAUUUUGGGCCGACAGUUCAACCAUAACCCCGCAUUCCUACUAGCAGUUGAGAUUUCCUAAUCCUUUUCAGCUUUAAAUUCCAGUUUUGUUACCAUCAAUUAUCAGAUAUCAAUGAGUUUUGAGUUCUACUAUCUUUCACUUCUUGUUGAUUUGUUGUUAACACACACAAAAAAAUGCGGUCUACAUCUCUGUAGAAGCUGCACUUUGAGCCAGGCCAUCAAGCACAAUUAUUGCUCUUACAUGGGGUGGAUUUAUAAAAUGCUGCUAUGAUUGUUUGCUAAUGUUCAAAUGUUUGAAUGAAGAUUUCGUUUUCAAUAAGUUAGAAUGCAUUACUUACAACCGUUUUAAAAGUCGUUGUUUCUUCUGUUACAGAUGGUAAAGGGUGAGAACAGUUUGGCUGAGUUCCUGCGAGCUAGGAUGGCUAUCUGUUCCAGUUCAACCUCGCCUGUCAAAUGAGGCGUUUGCUCGAAUUUGGUGGCAAAAAUCUUUGGCCGUGACUCCAGCAAGAUUUGCUAUUGUCCUCCCUGUAUAGUACCGGAAAGCAUCAAGGAUCCGGCGAGAGACUCUCUCAACGGGACUAGAUACCAAACGAUGAUUUGGGAUGCUGUUGUUGAUACAUGGGAAUUCUGAAGUAUAUUUUGGAGACUUCUUUUUUAAUUUUGAUUUUGUAAAUACGAAUAACGAAGUCUAAAUAAUUUAACACUUCAUGAAA
rnacentral:lncRNA from 1 species